CCUACGGGUGGCAGCAGUGGGGAAUAUUGCACAAUGGGGGAAACCCUGAUGCAGCGACGCCGCGUGAGUGAAGAAGUAUUUCGGUAUGUAAAGCUCUAUCAGCAGGGAAGAAAAUGACGGUACCUGAGUAAGAAGCCCCGGCUAACUACGUGCCAGCAGCCGCGGUAAUACGUAGGGGGCAAGCGUUAUCCGGAUUUACUGGGUGUAAAGGGAGCGUAGACGGCAGAGCAAGUCUGGAGUGAAAGGCGGGGGCUCAACCCUGGGACUGCUCUUGAAACUGAAUGGCUGGAGUGCAGGAGAGGUAAGCGGAAUUCCUAGUGUAGCGGUGAAAUGCGUAGAUAUUAGGAGGAACACCAGUGGCGAAGGCGGCUUACUGGACUGUAACUGACGUUGAGGCUCGAAAGCGUGGGGAGCAAACAGGAUUAGAUACCCUGGUAGUC
rnacentral:rRNA from 1 species